rnacentral:rRNA from 1 species
GCGGAGGAAAAGAAACCAACUGGGAUUACCUUAGUAACGGCGAGUGAAGCGGUAAAAGCUCAAAUUUGAAAUCUGGUACUUUCAGUGCCCGAGUUGUAAUUUGUAGAAUUUGUCUUUGAUUAGGUCCUUGUCUAUGUUCCUUGGAACAGGACGUCAUAGAGGGUGAGAAUCCCGUUUGGCGAGGAUACCUUUUCUCUGUAAGACUUUUUCGAAGAGUCGAGUUGUUUGGGAAUGCAGCUCAAAGUGGGUGGUAAAUUCCAUCUAAAGCUAAAUAUUGGCGAGAGACCGAUAGCGAACAAGUACAGUGAUGGAAAGAUGAAAAGAACUUUGAAAAGAGAGUGAAAAAGUACGUGAAAUUGUUGAAAGGGAAGGGCAUUUGAUCAGACAUGGUGUUUUUUGCAUGCACUCGCCUCUCGUGGGCUUGGGCCUCUCAAAAAUUUCACUGGGCCAACAUCAAUUCUGGCAGCAGGAUAAAUCAUUAAGAAUGUAGCUACUUCGGUAGUGUUAUAGCUUUUUGGAAUACUGUUAGCCGGGAUUGAGGACUGCGCUUCGGCAAGGAUGUUGGCAUAAUGGUUAAAUGCCGCCCGUC